GCAAGGCUCAACGAGGCCUUAGCAGCGAAGAAGAAAGAAAUUUCCGACUUUGAAGCUAAAUAUAAAAUUAGGAUUCGAAAGCCUGAAAGUGAGUCCAAGGAUGAUGGUAACCGGAAGGAAGGUUCGGCUCAAGGAGUCCUUGUUGGCCCUGCUGGUUCAAGUGAGUGAUAGGUGUUGUAUUUUAAUUCCACCGUGAUUUCUUGAACUUGCUGGAUGGAAGUAUUUUGGAUAUUUAUUACACCUGCUGUUAGAGAGCUGGGCCUGCUAAUGGAGUGUAACAGAUAUUGCUGAAUGAUAAUUUGUGCUUGAUAUUUCUGAAUGUGUUUGUUUCAAAGUAUGGAUUUUUGUGACAAGUCCUGCAAGUAAGAAAACUAGGAUCUGAGUGAUGC
rnacentral:lncRNA from 1 species